UCCGGUGGCGUUGGCGUUUGGGAACCACCCGUUCCCUUUCCGAACACGGAAGUGAAACCAAACAGCGCCGAUGGUACUUGGGGGGCAACCCCCUGGGAGAGUAGGUCACCGCCGGAC
rnacentral:rRNA from 1 species